UACAGAGGUGGCAAGCGUUGUUCGGAAUUACUGGGCGUAAAGGGCGCGUAGGCGGUCUUUUAAGUCUUGUGUGAAAUCCCUCGGCUCAACUGAGGAACUGCACGGGAUACUGGAAGACUUGAGUUCGGGAGAGGGAAGCGGAAUUCCGGGUGUAGCGGUGAAAUGCGUAGAUAUCCGGAGGAACACCGGUGGCCGAAGGCGG
rnacentral:rRNA from 1 species